AAUAGCUUAAAGGCAGAGCGUUUGACUGUUAAUCAAUAAGUUGGUGGUUCGAUUCCAUCUU
rnacentral:tRNA from 1 species